rnacentral:rRNA from 1 species
AGGGUAAGAAGUAAAUGUGCAGCGGUAGCGAAAACGAGUCAGAAAAGAGCGUUUAGUAUUUGGGCGUAGACCCGAAACGAGGUGAUCUACCCUUGGUAAGGUUGAAGUUCAGGUAUCACUGUAUGGAGGACAGAACCGACUUACGUUGACACGUGAGCAGAACAACUGAGGGUAGCGGAGAAAUUCCAAUCGAACAAGGAGAUAGCUGGUUCUCUCCGAAAUAGCUUUAGGGCUAGCCUCAAGUGAUGAUUAUUGGAGGUAGAGCACUGUUUGGACGAGGGGCCCCUCUCGGGUUACCGACUUCAGACCAACUACGAAUGCCAGUUAAUUUAACUUGGGAGUCAGAACAUGGGAGAUAAGGGCCGUGUUCGAAAGGGAA